rnacentral:rRNA from 1 species
UUAAGCGACUAAGCGUACACGGUGGAUGCCCUGGCAGUCAGAGGCGAUGAAGGACGUGCUAAUCUGCGAUAAGCGUCGGUAAGGUGAUAUGAACCGUUAUAACCGGCGAUUUCCGAAUGGGGAAACCCAGUGUGUUUCGACACACUAUCAUUAACUGAAUCCAUAGGUUAAUGAGGCGAACCGGGGGAACUGAAACAUCUAAGUACCCCGAGGAAAAGAAAUCAACCGAGAUUCCCCCAGUAGCGGCGAGCGAACGGGGAGCAGCCCAGAGCCUGAAUCAGUGUGUGUGUUAGUGGAAGCGUCUGGAAAGGCGCGCGAUACAGGGUGACAGCCCCGUACACAAAAAUGCACAUGCUGUGAGCUCGAUGAGUAGGGCGGGACACGUGGUAUCCUGUCUGAAUAUGGGGGGACCAUCCUCCAAGGCUAAAUACUCCUGACUGACCGAUAGUGAACCAGUACCGUGAGGGAAAGGCGAAAAGAACCCCGGCGAGGGGAGUGAAAAAGAACCUGAAACCGUGUACGUACAAGCAGUGGGAGCACGCUUCGGCGUGUGACUGCGUACCUUUUGUAUAAUGGGUCAGCGACUUAUAUUCUGUAGCAAGGUUAACCGAAUAGGGGAGCCGAAGGGAAACCGAGUCUUAACUGGGCGUUAAGUUGCAGGGUAUAGACCCGAAACCCGGUGAUCUAGCCAUGGGCAGGUUGAAGGUUGGGUAACACUAACUGGAGGACCGAACCGACUAAUGUUGAAAAAUUAGCGGAUGACUUGUGGCUGGGGGUGAAAGGCCAAUCAAACCGGGAGAUAGCUGGUUCUCCCCGAAAGCUAUUUAGGUAGCGCCUCGUGAAUUCAUCUCCGGGGGUAGAGCACUGUUUCGGCAAGGGGGUCAUCCCGACUUACCAACCCGAUGCAAACUGCGAAUACCGGAGAAUGUUAUCACGGGAGACACACGGCGGGUGCUAACGUCCGUCGUGAAGAGGGAAACAACCCAGACCGCCAGCUAAGGUCCCAAAGUCAUGGUUAAGUGGGAAACGAUGUGGGAAGGCCCAGACAGCCAGGAUGUUGGCUUAGAAGCAGCCAUCAUUUAAAGAAAGCGUAAUAGCUCACUGGUCGAGUCGGCCUGCGCGGAAGAUGUAACGGGGCUAAACCAUGCACCGAAGCUGCGGCAGCGACGCUGAUGCGUUGUUGGGUAGGGGAGCGUUCUGUAAGCCUGCGAAGGUGUGCUGUGAGGCAUGCUGGAGGUAUCAGAAGUGCGAAUGCUGACAUAAGUAACGAUAAAGCGGGUGAAAAGCCCGCUCGCCGGAAGACCAAGGGUUCCUGUCCAACGUUAAUCGGGGCAGGGUGAGUCGACCCCUAAGGCGAGGCCGAAAGGCGUAGUCGAUGGGAAACAGGUUAAUAUUCCUGUACUUGGUGUUACUGCGAAGGGGGGACGGAGAAGGCUAUGUUGGCCGGGCGACGGUUGUCCCGGUUUAAGCGUGUAGGCUGGUUUUCCAGGCAAAUCCGGAAAAUCAAGGCUGAGGCGUGAUGACGAGGCACUACGGUGCUGAAGCAACAAAUGCCCUGCUUCCAGGAAAAGCCUCUAAGCAUCAGGUAACAUCAAAUCGUACCCCAAACCGACACAGGUGGUCAGGUAGAGAAUACCAAGGCGCUUGAGAGAACUCGGGUGAAGGAACUAGGCAAAAUGGUGCCGUAACUUCGGGAGAAGGCACGCUGAUAUGUAGGUGAAGCGACUUGCUCGUGGAGCUGAAAUCAGUCGAAGAUACCAGCUGGCUGCAACUGUUUAUUAAAAACACAGCACUGUGCAAACACGAAAGUGGACGUAUACGGUGUGACGCCUGCCCGGUGCCGGAAGGUUAAUUGAUGGGGUCAGCGCAAGCGAAGCUCUUGAUCGAAGCCCCGGUAAACGGCGGCCGUAACUAUAACGGUCCUAAGGUAGCGAAAUUCCUUGUCGGGUAAGUUCCGACCUGCACGAAUGGCGUAAUGAUGGCCAGGCUGUCUCCACCCGAGACUCAGUGAAAUUGAACUCGCUGUGAAGAUGCAGUGUACCCGCGGCAAGACGGAAAGACCCCGUGAACCUUUACUAUAGCUUGACACUGAACAUUGAGCCUUGAUGUGUAGGAUAGGUGGGAGGCUUAGAAGUGUGGACGCCAGUCUGCAUGGAGCCGACCUUGAAAUACCACCCUUUAAUGUUUGAUGUUCUAACGUUGACCCGUAAUCCGGGUUGCGGACAGUGUCUGGUGGGUAGUUUGACUGGGGCGGUCUCCUCCUAAAGAGUAACGGAGGAGCACGAAGGUUGGCUAAUCCUGGUCGGACAUCAGGAGGUUAGUGCAAUGGCAUAAGCCAGCUUGACUGCGAGCGUGACGGCGCGAGCAGGUGCGAAAGCAGGUCAUAGUGAUCCGGUGGUUCUGAAUGGAAGGGCCAUCGCUCAACGGAUAAAAGGUACUCCGGGGAUAACAGGCUGAUACCGCCCAAGAGUUCAUAUCGACGGCGGUGUUUGGCACCUCGAUGUCGGCUCAUCACAUCCUGGGGCUGAAGUAGGUCCCAAGGGUAUGGCUGUUCGCCAUUUAAAGUGGUACGCGAGCUGGGUUUAGAACGUCGUGAGACAGUUCGGUCCCUAUCUGCCGUGGGCGCUGGAGAACUGAGGGGGGCUGCUCCUAGUACGAGAGGACCGGAGUGGACGCAUCACUGGUGUUCGGGUUGUCAUGCCAAUGGCACUGCCCGGUAGCUAAAUGCGGAAGAGAUAAGUGCUGAAAGCAUCUAAGCACGAAACUUGCCCCGAGAUGAGUUCUCCCUGACUCCUUGAGAGUCCUGAAGGAACGUUGAAGACGACGACGUUGAUAGGCCGGGUGUGUAAGCGCAGCGAUGCGUUGAGCUAACCGGUACUAAUGAACCGUGAGGCUUAACCUU